rnacentral:rRNA from 1 species
GGAGGGUGCUAGCGUUGUUCGGAAUUACUGGGCGUAAAGGGCGCGUAGGCGGCCUUCUCAGUCGGGUGUGAAAGCCCGGGGCUCAACCCCGGAACGGCACCCGAGACGGGAGGGCUGGAGACCGGGAGAGGAGGGUGGAAUAGCCAGUGUAGAGGUGAAAUUCGUAGAUAUUGGCUGGAACACCGGUGGCGAAAGCGGCUCUCUGGCCCGGUUCUGACGCUGAGGCGCGAAAGCGUGGGGAGCAAACAGGAUUAGAUACCCUGGUAGUCCACGCCCUAAACGAUGUGUGCUGGGCGUCGGGGGGCUUGCCCCGCGGUGCCGGAGCCAACGCGGUAAGCACACCGCCUGGGGAGUACGGCCGCAAGGUUAAA